GGAAAAAGGAACUAGACAGAGGCAGGCAGGCCGCACCGUGACCGGGUGAUCCAAAUUUCCAUCGCCGGUGAGAGCAGAUGGAGUUCGUGUCCACAUCAGCCGCGCAGUAUCCCCGGGGACAGCGCAUCAUCCGAAUCGUAAUGAUGAAACACCAGACAACCCCAAAUAAGGACCAUCCAUUAAAAAGAGGAAGGGGCCGCAUUGUGCAAAAAUGCCAGUGUCCUGAAAAUCAAAAGAAAGCUCGGGAAAUGUUCCAGAUUAAAGGGUGCUAAAGACUCAGGGCAACUUAAUGCCAUGCCUGAUCUAGGCGGCAUCUUGUACUAGAGGAGGGGAAAUGCUUCAUCAGCAUGCGGGCUGACAAAGUCGGAAUACAUGUAAUAGAUUAAAGCACUGGAUCAAUGCUAAACUUACUGACGUUGAUAACUUCUACUAUGGUUAUGUACAAAAACAUCUCAUUCUUAGGACGUACACACUGAAGAUCUUGUAAGAAAGGUCACAGCAUAUACAGCUUACCUUCAAAUGAUUCAAGGGAAAAAUCUUGAUAGGAAAAAUGAUAAAGCUAAGUUGGCAAUAAAGGUAAGCUGCAUAUUAUCAGUGAAGCUGCAUAUGGGGUGUACUUAAACAUUUCUGUACAUUGGAACUUAUUUCCAAAUAAAAAGAUUUGGAAAAUCCAUCCCAUUGGGGGAUGAAGUAAGGAGGGGAGAAAGCAGGGAUGAUGUAAAGGAACGCAAGGGAUCCUGUGACUUUGGAACUGUUAAAUGUCUUGAUUACGGUAGCACAGGUGAUAGAAUUAUCUAGAACUUAAUACACAUGCAAAUGAGUGCGAGGAAAACUGGGAAAAUCUGAGUAAGAUAGGUAAACUGUAGCAAGGCCAGCAUCCUACUAUAUGAUAUAAUAUUGAGGUUUUGCAAAAUGUUGUCUGGGGAAAACUAGGCCAAACGUACUAUUUCUUACAACU